CGGAGGGAUCGCGGCGCGGCGGGACUGCUGGGCUGUGCGGGGGGCGGCCGUGCUGCGCUGGGCCUCGGGAGGCCGCCGGCACUGGUGGGGCUCCGGCGCGCUCUAAUGGGGGACCCGAGGGCGCGUCUCCGCAAAGACUUGACACAAGAGCCAAGUGAGACCCGGGAGAAGGUCAAAGGCACGUAAGGGACCCGUCCUGCCGUGCCCGCCGCCCCUCAGGGCCCGUGAGAGCGGCCCCCGCCUCCAUCGUGUCCCGUAACCCUGUCCAUCAUUUCCCUGGUUGAACCUGUUAUUGUAGUGUCUCUGGCAGAAUGGAACGUGUGUUGGCUUAACAUCCAAACUUAAUAUAGUCGUUCCCAAGAAUAACCAAACUACCCUUACUCUGACACCACCACCAACAGCUAAGCAAGUAUGGAGCAUGCCUUGGACAGUAACACCAGGAAUUUGGAAAAUUGUGCCAUACAUAAGACAAGAGGUGGUGUGGAGGCUGCUGGCAAAGCCAAACCCAUAAGCAGCUGAGCUGGGUAUUCCUGGAUGACCACGGGAGUCCACAACCAUACAAUGGCAUGGUAGGACCCCACUGCAUAGAUUUCCACCUAUGAUGAAGUCCUGGAGCUCCUUCUCAGCUCUUCAGAGGUUUUGCUAGGAGGCUGGCAGCCCACUGGCACAUCAAGACGCCCAUGGAGUGAGAAAUUUGGACAUCUGCUGGCUCCUAGCAGGUGAGAGCCUAGAAGCAAAUAUACUUCAGGCCAGCAAGAGGGUUUUGCCUUGGAGCUGUCUAGUACCUGUUCCCUGUGGAAAAGUUCAGAAGCCACUAUGCUAAUUCCUGUGCUUCCAAGUGGGAAGAGAGACAGCUGCCCUACCAUGCCAUGGCAGCUACUAAGCACAUGAGAGGAGGUGGGGAGGCAGAUUUCACAAGCCAGCAAGGCUGAAUUGCUGUCAGAGGGCAUACAUUUAGGAUGUAGUUCCCUCUCUCAGUUCAAAGAGACUGUGCAUAUCGACACUGGUCACACCACAGCCCUAAAGGGGGGAAAGGAAACCAGCCUUUCAUAGCAUGGAAAAGUCCUGCUAGCUCCCUCUUCCUUAACAUGCCCUGACAUUUAUUGCAAUUUGUCCUAUGUCCUUGGAGUAUCUUUCUGGCUCCCUAUUGCCUACUGUGGGUGACCUGCUCCCUUUCCUGUCUUUGGUGACUGCCCUGUCUUCAGUGAUAAUUCAAACCCAGAGUAUUCAGCAAUUGGAGAUGAUCCUUCCAAAAAUACAGGCCAUGAAAAUUUGCUGAAGUUCAGGCAGAGAUUUACCAUGACAAAUGACCCACGUGGGUUAUGGUCUUCCCCAUUGUGGCCAGCACACUGCCACCAUCACAGCUUGUGACUGUGUGAACCUGCACCACCAGAAUUUCAGGAAAAGUUUGUUUGCAUUCCAAGUGGGAUUCUGAGCAGGCACAAGGUCUUGCAGGGCUAGGAUCUUAAGGUUUGUCUGGUCAGACUGCAUAAACUGAUGAAAACACCCAGAGGCAUAACAGGACAUCCUUCUAAUCUCUAUCAGUAACUUGCAGGAAUUGAAUUUAAAGUGUCAGUGUCUAACCUUUGAUAGUUUUUGUUUGGAUACACGUGCCAUAGAGAAAUCCAUGCUUGUUGCUGUGUCAAACUGUCACAAGGUUCUGGGAAUUAUGGUUUUUUGAAAGAUACCAAAUUUUGUGAGAUUUACAAUAAAAUUGUCAGAGUUGGUAAUGUUGCAAUUGUUUUUAAAAUAAAAGUAUUUGAAGUCCAUGAA